rnacentral:rRNA from 1 species
GAUGAACGCUGGCGGCGUGCUUAACACAUGCAAGUCGAACGGAGAGCUCAUGACAGAGGAUUCGUCCAAUGGAUUGAGUUUCUUAGUGGCGGACGGGUGAGUAACGCGUGAGGAACCUGCCUCGGAGUGGGGAAUAACAGUCCGAAAGGACUGCUAAUACCGCAUAAUGCAGCUGAGUCGCAUGACUCUGGCUGCCAAAGAUUUAUCGCUCUGAGAUGGCCUCGCGUCUGAUUAGCUAGUUGGCGGGGUAACGGCCCACCAAGGCGACGAUCAGUAGCCGGACUGAGAGGUUGGCCGGCCACAUUGGGACUGAGACACGGCCCAGACUCCUACGGGAGGCAGCAGUGGGGAAUAUUGGGCAAUGGGCGCAAGCCUGACCCAGCAACGCCGCGUGAAGGAUGAAGGC